rfam:Haemonchus placei strain MHpl1 genome assembly, scaffold: HPLM_contig0006334
GGCGCAGAUUUGAAGUAGAGUAGUUUAGCAAGGUCAGAUGAUCAUACUAACCUACUCUUCUUCAACCCUGUGCCC